GAGUGCCACUGCUAUGGCAAUCUUAGUGCAAGGUUGCAUCAGCCAGCAUUGAUCAAAGGUCAUACAGAGGUCACAUUAAUUUUCUAACAAUAUUU